AUUGAACGCUGGCGGCAGGCCUAACACAUGCAAGUCGAGCGGAUGAAGGGAGCUUGCUCCUGGAUUCAGCGGCGGACGGGUGAGUAAUGCCUAGGAAUCUGCCUGGUAGUGGGGGAUAACGUCCGGAAACGGGCGCUAAUACCGCAUACGUCCUGAGGGAGAAAGUGGGGGAUCUUCGGACCUCACGCUAUCAGAUGAGCCUAGGUCGGAUUAGCUAGUUGGUGGGGUAAAGGCCUACAAAGGCGACGAUCCGUAACUGGUCUGAGAGGAUGAUCAGCCACACUGGAACUUAGACACGGUCCAGACUCCUACGGGAGGCAGCAGUGGGGAAUAUUGGACGAUGGGCGAAAGCCUGAUCCAGCCAUGCCGCGUGUGUGAAGAAGGUCUUCGGAUUGUAAAGCACUUUAAGUUGGGAGGAAGGGCAGUAAGUUAAUACCUUGCUGUUUUGACGUUACCAACAGAAUAAGCACCGGCUAACUUCGUG
rnacentral:rRNA from 1 species